rnacentral:rRNA from 2 species
AGGGUUUGAUUAUGGCUCAGGAUGAACGCUGGCGGCGUGCUUAACACAUGCAAGUCGAGCGAGAAGGAAGAUAUGGAAUCUUCGGAGGAAAUAUCUACUGGAAAGCUGCGGACGGGUGAGUAACGCGUGGGUAACCUGCCUUGUACAGAGGGAUAGCCACUGGAAACGGUGAUUAAAACCUCAUAAAACUAUAUUAUCGCAUGGUAAUAUAGUCAAAACUCAGGUGGUACAAGAUGGACCCGCGUCUGAUUAGCUAGUUGGUGAGGUAAAGGCUCACCAAUGUGCGACGAAUACAGUAGCUCGACCUGAGAGCGUGAACGGCCACACUGGAACUGAGAAACGGUCCAGAAUCCUAUCAGAAGGCAGCAGUACGGAAUAUUGCACAAUUGGGCGAAAGCCUGAUGCCAGCAACGCCGCGUGAAGCGAAGGAAGCCUUUACAGAUCGUAAAGCUCUGUCCUAUGGGAAGAAGAACGUGACGGUACCAUACGAGGAAGCCACGACUAACUACGUGCCAGCAGCCGUCGGUAAUACGUAAGGGGCGAGCGUUAUCCUGGAAUUACUGGGCGUAAAUGGGUGAGUAGGCGGCCUAAAUAAGCCAGGGGUGAAAGGAUAGGGCUUAACCCUAGUAAGCCUUUGGAACUGUAUGGCUUGAGUGCAGGAGAGGAGAGUGGAAUUCCUAGUGUAGCGGUGAAAUGCGUAGAUAUUAGGAGGAACACCAGUGGGCGAAGGCGACUCUCUGGACUGCAACUGACGCUGAGGCACGAAAGCGUGGGGAGCAAACAGGAUUAGAUACCCUGGUAGUCCACGCCGUAAACGAUGAGUGCUAGGUGUCGGGGGUUCACACCCUCGGUGCCGGAGUUAACGCAUUAAGUACUCCGCCUGGGGAGUACGGUCGCAAGACUGAAAUUCAAAGGAAUUGACGGGGACCCGCACAAGCAGCGGAGCAUGUGGUUUAAUUCGAAGCAACGCGAAGAACCUUACUCAGGGCUUAACAUUCCCUCUGACGUAGGAGUAAAAUUCUAUUUCCCUUACGGGACAGAGGAGACAAGGUGGUGCAUGGUUGUCGUCAGCUCGUGUCGUGAGAUGUUGGGUUAAGUCCCGCAACGAGCGCAACCCUUAUCUUUAGUGGCAAGCAUUGUAAAGAUGGGAACUCUAGAGAGACUGCCGGUGAUAAACCGGAGGAAGGUGGAGAUGACCUCAAAUCAUCUAUGCCCCUUAUGUUCUUGGGCUACACACGUGCUACAAUGGCUGGUACAGAGGGAGGCCUAAGGAGUAAUUCUGGAGCGAAUCCCAAAAAGCCAGUCCAAGUUCGGUAUGUGGCGUGGCUGAAACUCGCCCCCAUGAAGUUGGAGUUGCUAGUAAUCGUGAAUCAGAAUGUCACGGUGAAUGCGUUCCCGGGUCUUGUACACACCGCCCGUCACACCAUGGGAGUUGGGGGCACCCGAAGUCAGCGGACUAACCGAAAGGAAGUAGCUGCCGAAGGUGAAAUCAAUGACUGGGGUGAAGUCGUAACAAGGUAGCC